rnacentral:rRNA from 1 species
CAUAGCGACUAUCGUGGCAUAUCAAUAAGCGGAGGAAAAGAAACUAACAAGGAUUCCCUUAGUAACGGCGAGUGAAGCGGGAAGAGCUCAAAUUUGAAAUCUUCAAGGUUCUACCUUGACGAAUUGUAGUUUAUAGAAGUGUUUUCUGUUAGUGGAGUGGCAAAAGUUCUUUGGAAUAGGACAUCAUAGAGGGUGAGAAUCCCGUAUUUGGUCAUUCCUCCUAGCGUUGUGAUACACUUUCAACGAGUCGGAUUGUUUGGGAAUGCAGUCCAAAAUGGGUGGUAAAUUUCAUCUAAAGCUAAAUAUUGGCGAGAGACCGAUAGCGAACAAGUACCGUGAGGGAAAGAUGAAAAGAACUUUGAAAAGAGAGUUAAACAGUACGUGAAAUUGUCAAAAGGGAAGCGUUUGACACCAGUGUUGUUUUUCCGAAAAUCAAUUACGAAUGUUUUGUUUUUGAGGAGUUAUGACUUCAUCGGCUUGCUCCUUUCUUUACGAAACUUUCUUAAUGCACUUUUCGGUUAACAAGUCAACAUCAAUUUCUUUUGUUGUAAAAGGGUAUGAGGAGGGUGGCUUUCUUUUCGGAGAAAGUGUUUAUAGCCUUGUGCCUCUGCAAUCGGAGAGAUUGAGGUCUGCAGCGUAGAUCCUUCGGGGUUAGAUACGUUUGUGCUAAGUUAUAGCUUUUCAUAGACAACUUGUUGACUAUGUUUAGUCUUGUAGCUUACUCGCUUAUGCUAUUUUACCUACGCUUAGGAUGUUGACGAGACUGUCGAUCU